rnacentral:rRNA from 1 species
AGAAUCGAGUGCGGGUCUUUAUGGCCCACCUCCCACCCGUGACUAUUGUACCUUGUUGCUUCGGCGGGCCCGCCAGCGUUGCUGGCCGCCGGGGGGCGACUCGCCCCCGGGCCCGUGCCCGCCGGAGACCCCAACAUGAACCCUGUUCUGAAAGCUUGCAGUCUGAGUGUGAUUCUUUGCAAUCAGUUAAAACUUUCAACAAUGGAUCUCUUGGUUCCGGCAUCGAUGAAGAACGCAGCGAAAUGCGAUAACUAAUGUGAAUUGCAGAAUUCAGUGAAUCAUCGAGUCUUUGAACGCACAUUGCGCCCCCUGGUAUUCCGGGGGGCAUGCCUGUCCGAGCGUCAUUGCUGCCCUCAAGCCCGGCUUGUGUGUUGG